AUUGAACGCUGGCGGCAGGCUUAACACAUGCAAGUCGAACGAGUGGCGGACGGGUGAGUAAUGCUUGGGAAUCUAGCUUAUGGAGGGGGAUAACUACGGGAAACUGUAGCUAAUACCGCGUACCAUAGGAUGAGCCCAAGUGGGAUUAGGUAGUUGGUGGGGUAAAGGCUCACCAAGCCGACGAUCUCUAGCUGGUCUGAGAGGACGACCAGCCAAACUGGGACUGAGACACGGCCCAGAUUCCUACGGGAGGCAGCAGUGGGGAAUAUUGGGCAAUGGGGGCAACCUGACGCAGCCAUGCCGCGUGAAUGAAGAAGGCCUUCGGGUUGUAAAGUUCUUUCGGUAGCGAGGCGUUAUCUACAGAAGAAGCACCGGCUAACUCCGUGCCAGCAGCCGCGGUAAUUC
rnacentral:rRNA from 1 species